AAGAAAUUCUUCCUGCCAAAUGCUUCCUCUGACCUUCCCCAGUGUUGUCAAGAGUAAGGUAAGCUACUUGAAUAAGGCAAAUCAAUUACUCUUGUGGGAAUUGACUCUUGUGUGAAGUAGUAACUGUUGUUUAUAUCUGAGCACUUGUGGACACAUGGAGUUGGAAAGAUCUUCUGGAGUCGUCUAGCUCCACUUCUUCCAGCCUGUUCUUCAGCUCUCCUUUAUGGCAUAGUUACAUCCUCUGUGGUGGAACAGUAUCAUCAUUUGUGGCCAGUUUCUUCCAUUUCAAUGCAAUAUGGAAGUAAAAGGAAGUGCACUGGCUGGGUCACUUCUAGUGCUGUGUCAUACUUCCCCUGCUCUCAGGAAUCUACAGUUUCAUCAGAGACUUAGCUGUGCCUACCCUCAAGUGGAAACAAGAUAAUGUGAGGACUUUGCCAACAACCUGGAAACAUUCUGCAGGGCUUUGCAGCAGGGGAGAUGCUGAAGAAGGGGCAAACACAAAUUUGCAGCGCACGUACCAGUUUGUCCUCAGACAUCUCUUCAUGUUCAGACCACUAGAAUCUUGACCUACAGUGACUUCGGGCCAACCACCA